rnacentral:rRNA from 1 species
CGCGUGGGAAUCUGCCCUCUGGUACGGAAUAACUCAGGGAAACUUGAGCUAAUACCGUAUAAUGACUUCGGUCCAAAGAUUUAUCGCCUGAGGAUGAGCCCGCGUCGGAUUAGCUAGUUGGUGAGGUAAAGCUCACCAAGGCGACGAUCCGUAGCUGGUCUGAGAGGAUGAUCAGCCACACUGGGACUGAGACACGGCCCAGACUCCUACGGGAGGCAGCAGUGGGGAAUAUUGGACAAUGGGCGAAAGCCUGAUCCAGCAAUGCCGCGUGAGUGAUGAAGGCCUUAGGGUUGUAAAGCU